AGGAGAGGGCGGCUCCGAGGGGAGGAGACCCCGCCCGGCGUUACCGAGGCGGCCGCCGACCUUCGUCCUGGCGAGAGGCGACGCUUGCUCCAGGAGAAGCCCGGCUCCGGCAAGCAUGAUAGCGGGGGACACUGUCAUCGUACCUGGAACGCUGGAAGAACCCACACUGGGGGGAGGAGAAAAAGAAGAGUUUAGACUGAAGUUGCUGUGGAAGUACUACAAUUACAGAGGCAACACAUUCUUCAUAAAGAUUUGAAGCAGACUGUCCAUUUCUUUAAGAAGGAGGAAACCAAAAGUACCCUAUGAGAAGUCAUCUAUAGCAAACAGUAAGUACAACCACACCACCUGCUCCAAAGGAAAGUGACAAGAUAUUCCUCUUCACCCACUCUUUCUAAAUGAGUGUCUUUCUCAUCAACUUAUAGUAACUGCUGAAGCCAGUAAGUAAUAAGAAUAAAAUAACUACCCUAUUCUACUUGGAGACACAGUUAGUUGUAAAAAUGCCAAAGGUGUUUUAAAAAAUACUUGCAUUUUUUCUUUUCAAAUUCUUAAGUUUUCCUUUUAAAUAUGAAUUUACUCCUUCAGGGUUUCUAAGAUAAGGAGCCCAUCCAAAAGAAACUGAACACACAGAUUCAGAGGGAAGGAGGGCAAGACAAGCACAAGCAAGACAAGUUUCUCAUCUGACAGAAAAAUUCUCUCCCUUGGCUCCUACUAAGGCUGGAACAUUAAGCAGAUACGUAGCUGAUACUCAUUUAGGGCACUGCCCUACUCUGAGCCGUGCUACGAAGUACUGCGUGCUGCUCAACUGCAUUGUGAUCUUCAGGCUGCCUUCGGCCCACCUAGGAAGCACAUGAACUGCGUCACAGGCGAGAUGGCACUGGCUGGUGAGGAAUUAACUCUAUCGGACCAAUUCCAUCUACUUUUCCUCCCCUGGGUUCCGACUCAGACUGGAGCAGCUAAGUACUGUCCCUAUAGCAUCAACAACCCAGAAUUGUGCCCUGAAGUUGCUUUAGUCUUGUCUUUGAAGAAGUGAGGUUAAGCUGCAAGAAUAUAAUUAGAUGGAGGAGCCUCCCUGCACCCCCAUUUUAUGAUAUAGCUGGUGUUCUGCAGCACCAUGAGAGGUGAAUUUGAGAAAGAGCUAUGAAGCUACAAAAAUAACAUUAUCUGCUAAAUCUCAAAAGCUUUUUUCUCUCAGUAGCGUAUGAAAGAAUAGCCUGCAUCAUCAUUAUUAGUACAAGCUCUCACUGCAGCACGCUCUCACUUCCUAAGUCACAGUUGCAACAUCCAGAGCUACAUGAAUACAUAGGAGCAAUUCAGCUGAUGGCCCUCAGUAAAGUUAAGGUAAGGCUGAUCAUCCUAGGCAACAGGCUGAAGAAAGAAGGCUCCUUUUUUAAACUUUACCAAACUAUUUUUCCUUGUUUCUGUAGUAAGCUUUUUUUAAAGAAACAAUGUAUCAUGAAAGGAGGAACAAACAACCUGAAAAUAAAUUGCCUGUUCCACAUCCAAGAUCCAUCGUGUUGCCAAGAUUACAAAGAAGGGCUAACUCAGAGUUAGAAAAAUAAUUUAAAAUGUCUACAAUCUCAAGAAUUUUGUUUUGCGAAGCAGACAUUCAAGUCCUUAAUUCUAAGAAAUCACAGUUAUACAGCAAUGGAAAUUACUUUUCAGGAAGCUGCACAGAAACACAAAUCAUUCAGAACAUUUACAAAGAUGUUUUUGGUCUACAGCAUGCUAGACCUGUAGACUUACCACCACAUUUCCUCCUGGCCCCUGACUUUGGACGGUUACACCCAUCCAUUGGUCUUCUUUGCUCUCCAUCUUUGGGUCAGCUGGAGAUUCAAAUAAAGCAGUUAAUUUUUUUUUGUCUUUGUAAGAACUUUACAGUACAUGAGAUAGUCUACAGAUGGCAGUGUCUGCACAUCCUAUCACAUUCCAAUGCAAGCAAGUUAUGUACAAACCUAGAAAAGCAACUGUAUGAUACAGUCAAUGGAAAGGACUGCAUUAGAUCAGAAAAAUCAGACAACUGCAGAAUAAAAGCACUGAGGAACUUACUGUCUUCAUCAAACACAACACGUGUGCAGCUUGUGUCUGAAGAUGUGAUGUCACAGCUGUACAGCCCUCCUGUUCUGUUGGCUUGUUGGGAUGGAAAGGCCUUUUCCCGAGGAGCUCCAACCAGCAAUCUAUAGGGAAACAGAAAUAACUUCAAGGGAUCUGCAGAGGCAGUAUUAGAAAAGAGGAAGGCAGCAGAGUCAGGAAAUGCUUUCACCGUGUUGUUAGAGGUUUGAUGUGCAAACAUUUAAGGGGGAUUUUCAUCAGUCAAUACAACUGCUUUCAGACUCUGCAUUUGCACCACUCCCGUGCCACCACCCCCCAUGAGUAUUAUCACAAAAUAACCACAGACAUGUUUAUUUGCUAAAUGAGAGUUUCAGUCAAAACACUUUUUUUCUUCGGAUAUUUUUGAGUCGCAUAUAUGUAAACCACAGCCACCUCAACUUCCUAACUGAAACCAGCAUACAGUAACAGCACCACGGUUUGCAGAAGAAAUAAGAAACAAUGAAUUCUGCUGAAGAAAACCAAGAUUGAGAAAACUGUGUGUAGAUGGGUACAAUACAGUGGGUGCAACCUUCCUGUGCUUCCAGACACCACUCAGUAUAAAUAAGUAAAUAAAUCUGAAAGAGAUCUGAUAUUACAUUACCAAGAGAGGAGAGUUUAAGGCUUCAGUUAUAGUUUUUCUGUUGAGACACAUUUUUCCACAUGCUUUAUAAUGGCUGUGGAGCAAAGCAAACCACUCAGAAAUUGGUUUUUUUUUCGGUGUUUUUUGUUUGUUUGUUUUCUCAUUAAAAACAUGACUUUUAUUUCUAUCUAA